CAGAUUUAGAGAGAGAAUUAUCAAUAGAGAGAAUUAGAGAGAGAGCCUCCAGAAAGCUAAAACGGAAAAAGCAAAACAGUCGGCGAUUCAUCGAGAGGGAAGUUGGACAAUCCCCACUAAACGACAAUUUCUUAGGCGUCAUCAAUCUUUUCGCUGUCAGGUUCUUUUGUUCGUCCUCAGAUCUGUUUAUCUAUAUACCUUUCUUAUUUUCUUUACAGAUUUUGAUUGUUUUUGGUGUUGAAUGCGAUUACCAUUGUUACUCUUUGUUUUCUUUUCCUUUCUGGUGGUAGUUUCAUUUUGUUUAGGGGGUUUAAAGCGUGUUUCUUGAUCUCUUGAUGUUUUGGUUUGGGUGGGAACUCAUCGAUUUUGAGAGAUCUGAAGGUAUCUGUUUGGGUUUUGAUUGUUCGGUCAUAUGUUACUGGUUAUCCCUCCAUCUUCUUUUUGAUUUUAAUAUAAUGGUGUAUGGAUAUCUACAAAUUUUAAUCAUUUUCUUUGUUCUGUUUGCUGAAUAUCAACAUGGGAUGGUUUUGGACUUUUAGUUCGAUUUAAAAUUUCUUUUGGGGGAGAGUUGUUUGGUGUUGGGUUUGGAUGUUAUGCAUGUGACUCCUGAAAAACUUUGAUCUGUAAUAGCUUUCAAUUAGAUUCCGAGGUUGGUUUGGCUGAAAUAUUCAUUUUGAAUGAUCCUUUUUUUUAUUUAUUUUUUUAA
rnacentral:misc_RNA from 1 species